AGUCGACGCCCCGCAAGGGGAGUGGCAGACGGGUGAGUAACGCGUGGGAACAUAUCCUUUCCUGCGGAACAACUCCGGGAAACUGGAGCUAAUACCGCAUACGCCCUUCGGGGGAAAGAUUUAUCGGGGAAGGAUUGGCCCGCGUUGGAUUAGCUAGUUGGUGGGGGAAAGGGCUACCAAGGCGACAAUCCAUAGCUGGUCUGAGAGGAUGAUCACCCACAUUGGGACUGAGACACGGCCCAACUCCUACGGGAGGCAGCAGUGGGGAAUAUUGGACAAUGGGCGCAGCCUGAUCCAACCAUGCCGCGUGAGUGAUGAAGGCCUUAGGGUUGUCAGCUCUUUCACCGGAGAAGAUAAUGACGGUAUCCGGAGAAGAAGCCCCGGCUAACUUCGUGCCAACAGCCGCGGUAAUACGAAGGGGGCUAGCGUUGUUCGGAAUUACUGGGCGUAAAGCGCACGUAGGGGGACAUUUAAGUCAGGGGUGAAAUCCCCGGGGCUCAACCUCGGAACUGCCUUUGAUACUGGGUGUCUUUGAGUGUGGAAGAGGUCAGUGGAAUUGCGAGUGUACAGGCGAAAUUUUCUAUAUAUUCGCAGGAACCACCAUUGGCGCAAAGCGGGUGACUGGUCCACCAACUUGACCCUGAGGUGACGAAAG
rnacentral:rRNA from 1 species